rnacentral:rRNA from 1 species
GUGUCAGCCGCCGCGGUAAUACGUAGGUGGCAAGCGUUAUCCGGAAUUAUUGGGCGUAAAGCGCGCGUAGGCGGUUUCUUAAGUCUGAUGUGAAAGCCCCCGGCUCAACCGGGGAGGGUCAUUGGAAACUGGUUGACUUGAGUGCAGAAGAGGAGAGUGGAAUUCCAUGUGUAGCGGUGAAAUGCGUAGAUAUAUGGAGGAACACCAGUGGCGAAGGCGACUCUCUGGUCUGUAACUGACGCUGAGGCUCGAAAGCGUGGGUAGCAAACAGGAUUAGAAACCCUCGUAGUCC